rnacentral:rRNA from 1 species
CUUUUGCUUUAUAUAUAUGGGUUUUUUUUUUGUCAGAUGAACGCUGGCGGCGUGCCUAAUACAUGCAAGUCGAGCGAAUGGAUUAAGAGCUUGCUCUUAUGAAGUUAGCGGCGGACGGGUGAGUAACACGUGGGUAACCUGCCCAUAAGACUGGGAUAACUCCGGGAAACCGGGGCUAAUACCGGAUAACAUUUUGAACCGCAUGGUUCGAAAUUGAAAGGCGGCUUCGGCUGUCACUUAUGGAUGGACCCGCGUCGCAUUAGCUAGUUGGUGAGGUAACGGCUCACCAAGGCAACGAUGCGUAGCCGACCUGAGAGGGUGAUCGGCCACACUGGGACUGAGACACGGCCCAGACUCCUACGGGAGGCAGCAGUAGGGAAUCUUCCGCAAUGGACGAAAGUCUGACGGAGCAACGCCGCGUGAGUGAUGAAGGCUUUCGGGUCGUAAAACUCUGUUGUUAGGGAAGAACAAGUGCUAGUUGAAUAAGCUGGCACCUUGACGGUACCUAACCAGAAAGCCACGGCUAACUACGUGCCAGCAGCCGCGGUAAUACGUAGGUGGCAAGCGUUAUCCGGAAUUAUUGGGCGUAAAGCGCGCGCAGGUGGUUUCUUAAGUCUGAUGUGAAAGCCCACGGCUCAACCGUGGAGGGUCAUUGGAAACUGGGAGACUUGAGUGCAGAAGAGGAAAGUGGAAUUCCAUGUGUAGCGGUGAAAUGCGUAGAGAUAUGGAGGAACACCAGUGGCGAAGGCGACUUUCUGGUCUGUAACUGACACUGAGCGGAAAGACGCCC